UGGGGAAUAUUGCACAAUGGGCGCAAGCCUGAUGCAGCCAUGCCGCGUGUGUGAAGAAGGCCUUCGGGUUGUAAAGCACUUUCAGCGAGGAGGAAGGUGGUGAACUUAAUACGUUCAUCAAUUGACGUUACUCGCAGAAGAAGCACCGGCUAACUCCGUGCCAGCAGCCGCGGUAAUACGGAGGGUGCAAGCGUUAAUCGGAAUUACUGGGCGUAAAGCGCACGCAGGCGGUUUGUUAAGUCAGAUGUGAAAUCCCCGGGCUCAACCUGGGAACUGCAUUUGAAACUGGCAAGCUAGAGUCUCGUAGAGGGGGGUAGAAUUCCAGGUGUAGCGGUGAAAUGCGUAGAGAUCUGGAGGAAUACCGGUGGCGAAGGCGGCCCCCUGGACGAAGACUGACGCUCAGGUGCGAAAGCGUGGGGCAGCAAACAGGAUUAGAUACCCUGGUAGUCCACGCUGUAAACGAUGUCGAUUUUGGAGGUUGUGCCCUUGAGGCGUGGCUUCCGGAGCUAACGCGUUAAAGUCGACCGCCUGGGGAGUACGGCCGCAAGGUU
rnacentral:rRNA from 1 species